GUGCCGUGGAUUUUCUUCCCUUCUGAAUUCUGCCUCUGAUCACUGUUGCUCAUUUGACAUAACUAAUGUGGUUGUGAAGUUCAAAAGCCAGAAAGAAGACAUCUUCUCUUCUUUUCAAGGCAAUGAGUGCUAUUGCUGCUGAAUUGGGGGGCAUCUUUUGAAGUCAACCACGUUAAAGGAAGAAGCAGGAUCCCAAGACCCUGAUCUGAGCGAGAGGCAGACACUCAAUCAACCAAACCACCCAGGUGUCCUGACUAUCCUGAAUUUGGAAUGAGAUGCUCUAAAGGUUAAGAAGAGGAGAACAAGUUGCAGAAUCAGGACCAGAACCUGAAUAAAGA